rnacentral:rRNA from 1 species
UACGGAGGAUGCAAGCGUUAUCCGGAAUGAUUGGGCGUAAAGGGUCCGCAGGUGGCACUACAAGUCUGCUGUCAAAGGCUGGGGCUUAACUCCAGAAAGGCAGUGGAAACUGAAGAGCUAGAGUGCGAUAGGGGCAGAGGGAAUUCCCAGUGUAGCGGUGAAAUGCGUAGAGAUUGGGAAGAACACCAGUGGCGAAAGCGCUCUGCUAGGUCGUAACUGACACUGAGGGACGAAAGCUAGGGGAGCGAAUGGG